rnacentral:misc_RNA from 1 species
AUAAAAUUAGUCAAGUAGUGCUGCAGAAACAAACUAUUAAUGUAGUGCACACAGCUGUAGUAAUAUCGAAAAGUAAUCCACAGCUAAAACAGUACACUUGUAUCGCCGGCGCCGGUGGCCACUAUGUUCUUAGGUGACCCCGUCGUUUCCGAUGUUUGUGCCGCCGUUGCAUCGGCCGCUGUCAUUUUCUCACUUCUUCAACUGUGGAAAGAAACAGCCAAGCUUGGGCUCGACCAGGUUAAUUGGCUAUCAUUGUGAAUUUAGUGUUAAUUUUUACUUCAUUUGUUGAAAUGUUGAUUUUUUUUUCCUCGUAAGAGCUUGUUUGUAUAAACAUGAAUUGGAACUCUGUUCUUGUUGCCUCCGUGCUCUUGUAUGUAUUUUUGGUUAGCCACCAAGAUCUCUUGAAAUUUCAUGUCAAAUAAACCCUAAAGGAAUUGGGGAUUUUCUUUCGGUGGAUACCUUGAAGCGACUAUGUUAAGAAACUUACCUUCUUUGACUUUUGUAGUCCGAUUGUUCUCUUUAUCACUGCUUUGCCUCUAGAAUUAAUCUUCUCUCUGUAUAACUGCCCUGCCUGUAGAAUCAAUCUUAUACACAACUUUAAUUUGUAGCCAAGACUAACUAGAAAACAAAAUAUUAGAGGGAAAACUAAAAGGUUCCAUAAGCAUCAUAUUUAGGAUAAAAUUGUAUCACACAAUCAGAAGCAGCACAAUCUCUCUAAUUUUCAAUUAAAUUUUAUGUAUAUAUCUUUCCUUCAUAUGAUGAUAUGUAAGUUGAACUAAUCUGUUGAAAUGAGAUCAAAAGAAUUCAGUUUUCUGUGCAGAUUUUACUAUGUGCAAAUCCCCCAUCUUCUGUCUCAUAGGUUGCUUAUAUUCUUAUCUUUUCCUGUUUAGAAACUGAAUCGGAAGCUUGUGCAUAUAAGCAUUGGUCUAGUUUUCAUGCUUGGCUGGCCGAUGUUCAGGUAAAUCUCAUGAUUAGUGGAGCUUUGCAUAAUUUACAUUUCUGGUUGAGAAAUAGCUAUCUCUAAACAUUGCAGUUCAGGGCAUCGUGGAGCAAUUAUGGCAGCUCUUACUCCAGGUGUCAACAUAUUCCGAAUGCUUCUCUUGGGUUUAGGGAUAUGGAAAGAUGAAGCCACAGUGAAAUCAAUGAGCAGAUUUGGGGACCACAGGUUAAAACUUUGGAUCAAAAUUUAUUUAGGUUUCCUCUUACAAUGUGAAAUAUGUUAAAUCUUCACACCUCAUAGUGGCUUUCUUCUUCAUCCUGCCCAGAGAGCUUAUUUUUAUUUUUCUCUGAAUCAAAUAUUGGCUUUUAAUUAUCAUAUAUGACAUGUAUUAAAAAGGGAACUGGUUAUGUUGAUAGUUACUUGACAUUUUUUUUUUUAUAUGGGUGCUAUUAUUUUGGAAGUAACUGAACUUCUUAAGAUGAAGUUUUCUGAGCAGAGUGUGAAACAAGCAAUCACUGAAUUUUCUGUGACUUCUCAGUUUGUUCUUAGCUUUUCUAUGCAUCAGGGAACUUCUUAAGGGACCACUCUACUAUGCUUUGACUGUUACUUUGGCUUGUGCAAUCUAUUGGAGGACAUCCCCAAUUGCAAUUGCAGCAAUAUGCAACUUGUGUGCUGGAGAUGGUACUUCCAUCUAUAUUCUAUAUUUUGUUGUUUUAUUGGACUCUUUUCUGUAUGAAAUUUUCAAUGCAAAAGGGAUACUUGAGACUCAUUUUGUGCUGUAGCUGUGAAAAUCCCUUCUGUUGGUUUCAGGAAUUGCAGACAUUGUGGGGAGGCGGUUUGGCAAAAAGAAAAUCCCCUACAACAGUGAUAAAUCCAUAGCUGGUAGCAUUGCCAUGGCACUGGCUGGUUUUUUAGCAUCUGUCUUGUUCAUGCAUUAUUUUGCCUCAUUUGGAUAUGUUCGUGAAAGUUGGGAAAUGGCAUUGGGUUUCUUAAUGGUCUCGCUUGCCUCUGCCUUCGUAGAAUCACUGCCCAUAAGUACCAGGCUCGAUGACAAUCUCACAGUUACCUUAACUUCUAUAUUGCUAGGAAGCCUAGUUUUCUGAUGUCGAGAACUAGCGUAAACUUCCAAUUGUUGGCCAACUCAUGUCAUUUAGAAGCAUUACAUCGUUGUUGGUCACUUCAUGUUUAGUUGAUAAUGUCUUCUUACUGUUUUCUCUGUGUAAUGAGGAUGGUCAAAUGAAAUACGCCGAAUUAUUGGACUUAAUAUUCUAUUUGUUUUCUCUUUUGGUGAUAAAAAAAACCACAUGAUAUCAGUGUAAAUUGCAGCGUAGUCGCUAAAUUUGUAACAGAAUUCUAUUCUGGUCAUUAAAUAUCAAUUUAUUAAAUUAAG